CAAGUCGAGCGAAUCAAUGGGAGCUUGCUCCCUGAGAUUAGCGGCGGACGGGUGAGUAACACGUGGGUAACCUGCCUGUAAGAUUGGGAUAACUCCGGGAAACCGGAGCUAAUACCGGAUAAUACUUUCAACCGCAUGGUUGAAAGUUGAAAGAUGGUUUCGGCUAUCACUUACAGAUGGACCCGCGGCGCAUUAGCUAGUUGGUGAGGUAACGGCUCACCAAGGCAACGAUGCGUAGCCGACCUGAGAGGGUGAUCGGCCACACUGGGACUGAGACACGGCCCAGACUCCUACGGGAGGCAGCAGUAGGGAAUCUUCCGCAAUGGACGAAAGUCUGACGGAGCAACGCCGCGUGAACGAUGAAGGCCUUCGGGUCGUAAAGUUCUGUUGUUAGGGAAGAACAAGUACCAGAGUAACUGCUGGUACCUUGACGGUACCUAACCAGAAAGCCACGGCUAACUACGUGCCAGCAGCCGCGGUAAUACGUAGGUGGCAAGCGUUGUCCGGAAUUAUUGGGCGUAAAGCGCGCGCAGGUGGUUUCUUAAGUCUGAUGUGAAAGCCCACGGCUCAACCGUGGAGGGUCAUUGGAAACUGGGGAACUUGAGUACAGAAGAGGAAAGUGGAAUUCCACGUGUAGCGGUGAAAUGCGUAGAGAUGUGGAGGAACACCAGUGGCGAAGGCGACUUUCUGGUCUGUAACUGACACUGAGGCGCGAAAGCGUGGGGAGCGAACAGGAUUAGAUACCCUGGUAGUCCACGCCGUAAACGAUGAGUGCUAAGUGUUAGAGGGUUUCCGCCCUUUAGUGCUGCAGCUAACGCAUUUAAGCACUCCGCCUGGGGAGUACGGUCGCAAGACUGAAACUCAAAGGAA
rnacentral:rRNA from 1 species